CUCUCUAAUACAUUAUAAAGAGUAAAAUGAUAUUAUAUUUUUACAUUCAAAAAAGAAAAAAUAUGGCUGAAAUUCUCAAGUUUGUUUAUGCAAUGAUUCUAUUUCUUUCCUUAUUUAUUGACGCAGCGAAAUACAUAUAUCGUAAGCCGUCAUUUUUCUCACGUUUACAUGAAUGUGAACAAGACGGUGAUUGUCCAGAAAUUGUUUCAUAUCCUUUGGUUUUGAGGUGUAUUGGUUACAAUUGUGUAGUUGUUAACAGCCAAGAAUAAUUAUACACAAAUGCCAUGAAGGGGAAGAAUGAGCUCUUUAUUUUAUUUUAAGAAAAAAAAAAGCUCUUUAUUUUAUUUAUUUUUUUACGAUUAAGAAUGAGCUCUUUAACUAGCUAAAUAUUUGUGCAAGAUAUUUUAUUCUAGAAUAUUUUAUUAGUUGUCACUUGUUAUUAGUUAUUGUGAUGGAACCAAAUAGUUAUUAUUAUUAUUUAUUUAUGUUCCAUACUCUAAUUUAAAAAAUCCUGAAGGCAUGACUUGUAAUGUAAGAUGAUGAUAAUAAAAUAAAGGUUUAAUUAGUAUGCUA